rnacentral:rRNA from 1 species
GCUGUGUAAAAUGAGCUUGCGUCCUAUUAGCUAGUUGGUGAGGUAAUGGCUCACCAAGGCUACGAUGGGUAGGGGUUCUUAGUGGAAGGUCCCCCACACUGGCACUGAGAUACGGGCCAGACUCCUACGGGAGGCAGCAGUAGGGAAUAUUGGUCAAUGGGCGCAAGCCUGAACCAGCCAUGCCGCGUGCAGGAUGAAGGCUCUCUGAGUUGUAAACUGCUUUUGUACAGGAGCAAAAAAAUCCCUGCGGGGGUUCUUGAGAGUACUGUAAGAAUAAGCACCGGCUAAUUCCGUGCCAGCAGCCGCGGUAAUACGGGAGGUGCAAGCGUUAUCCGGUUUUAUUGGGUUUAAAGGGUGCGUAGGCGGCUUAUUAAGUCAGUUGUGAAAUCCUAGUGCUUAACGCUAGAACUGCGAUUGAUACUAUUAGGCUUGAGUUAAAGAAGAGGU